rnacentral:rRNA from 1 species
UACAGAGGUCCCAAGCGUUGUUCGGAUUCACUGGGCGUAAAGGGUGCGUAGGUGGUUAGGUAAGUCCGAUGUGAAAUCUCCAGGCUCAACCUGGAAAUGGCAUUGGAUACUAUUUAGCUUGAGGAGUGGAGGGGGGAGCUGGAAUUCUCGGUGUAGCAGUGAAAUGCGUAGAUAUCGAGAGGAACACCAGUGGCGAAGGCGAGUCCCUGGACACUUCCUGACACUGAGGCACGAAAGCUAGGGGAGCAAACAGG